GAACGCAGGAUUGGAGCGACGGGCCAGGAGAGCUAGAAGACGCGUCGAUGAGCGGCGCCGGCGCUCCGGACUUCUUCUUCAGGAAUGGUUACGUCUCUCGAUCUGCCUUCUACAGUGUGAGAGAUCUGGUUUUCCCUUUUCUUAGCAGCUUCUGCAGAAGCAGCACGAGCUUAUUACUCCAGGUGCUUCGGUGCUUGAUCUUGGAUGCUCACAGGGCUCUCGGCUCGAGGUAUCAUGUCAGAGUUUGGGUCCGCCGGAGAAGGGCUGAUCAGUAUUUGGAAUUAAUAUUCAAUGUUUCUCGCUGACUCAGUAUUGACUACAUGUUUUCGAUAAAAAGAUGAAAAUGUUUUACCGAAGUUGUUAGAUUGAUUGCAUAGUUAAAAUCUAUUUUCCCUAGAUCGCAUUUUCAGUUGUUUUGUGUGUAUGCGUUGACUACAUAGCAGAAAGUGAAAGUUCCUUCUUCUCAUUGUGAUUCUAGGGUUAGUGCAAUCUGUGCGGAUGUGGUGAAUUUGUUGAGAGAUCAACUGAUCAAGUGAGGGCAAUGCCUCCUCAUGUAUAACUUAUCCCUGAUCAAUGAAUGUUGAUGUUCUGGAGCA